AGAAUCAGCUCCCCUGCCUCUCUCUGCCUCUCUCCGUCGCUCUGGCCAAAUCAUAUAUAUGGUCCCAUCGGGAAGAUGAGCCGAUCGUCCCUCCAUUUCUCUCGCACUGAAACCGUCCCCUCUCGCCCUUAACCUUUCACCUUCUCCUUUGCUUAAAAGAGCAAAAAAGAAGGGGAAAAAACAAGAGACAAAAACUUCACUCCUUUCUCUCUGCUAAGCCGCCAUCAGGAUGCUCUGCUCUGCUCUCUCUCUCUCUCUCUCUCCCUCUGCCGGCCGCAAACGUCCCCUCGCUGACAUACAGCAGCUAGGCUAGGCUGACCCUGUGAAAACAGAGUCCACUCAGAACGAAGUCCUUUAUCCAGCGGUUUCUUUCUUGCUUUGCUUUCUGCCCGGGUAAUGCCUCAUCGCAGUCUCUGUUUGCGCGACCUGUUUCCUUCUUCCACAGAGUAGUCGAGAGCUAGAGCUUGAUUGCAUUUGGCUUUCCUCGCGGAGACUUUUGGUUUAAUCCGAACCGAUGGCAGCGAAAGACGCAGAUUUCUCUCCUCACAAGCUCCCAUCUCCUUCUCAGGUCGUUGAAGAGCUAAAAGAACUGUUAGGCAUGGUGUUCCCCAUCACGGCCAUGAACUUACUAGCCUUCGUCCGACAAGUAGUGUCGGUCUUGUUCUUGGGUCGUCUCGGAAGCUUAGAGCUCGCAGGAGGAGCACUGUCCAUCGGCUUCACCAACAUCACGGGCUACUCUGUUCUGGCCGGCCUAGCUUCAGGGCUCGAGCCGGUCUGCGCUCAGGCCUACGGGAGCAAGAACUGGGACCUCCUCGCCCUCUCCCUCCAACGGAUGGUGCUGAUCCUCCUGAUCGCGAUCGUGCCCAUCGGCCUCCUCUGGGUCAACCUCGAGCCCAUCAUGGUCUUCAUGGGCCAGGACAGGCACAUCACUUCCAUGGCCGCCACGUACUGCAUGUUCUCCCUCCCCGACCUUCUCACCAACACCCUCUUGCAGCCCCUGAGGGUCUUCCUCCGGUCCCAGGGCAUCGCCAAGCCCAUGAUGUACUGCUCCCUCGCCGCCGUCGCGCUCCACGUGCCGCUCAACUACGUGCUCGUGGUGGGUGCGGGGAUGGGUGUGCCGGGGGUGGCGGUGGCCUCCGUGCUUACGAACGUGAACAUGGUUGUACUGAUGGCAGCGUACGUGUACGUGUCGGGGCGGCGCGAGAUUCGGUGGACGGCCGGGUUUAGGCGGGUCUGCGACGGGCUGGGACCGUUGAUGAGGCUAGCGGUGCCAAGCUGCCUGGGGAUUUGCCUGGAGUGGUGGUGGUACGAGAUUUUGACGGUCCUGUCGGGGUACUUGCCGAACCCCACGGUGGCGGUGGCUGCCACCGGGGUUCUGAUCCAAACUACCAGCAUGAUGUACACUGUGCCCAUGGCCCUAGCUGGUUGUGUUUCUGCCAGGGUAGGAAACGAGCUCGGGGCUGGCAAGCCAUACAAGGCCAAAUUAGCAGCCCUGGUCGCAUUGGGAUGUGCAUUCAUUAUGGGCAUCGUCAACGUCACAUGGACGAUUCUCCUCAGAAAGAAAUGGGCGAGCUUCUUCACAAAAGACGAGCUGCUCAAGGCGCUGGUUGCUUCCGUCAUGCCAAUCAUGGGCCUCUGCGAGCUCGGCAACUGCCCCCAGACGACUGGGUGCGGCAUCCUGCGCGGCACGGCGAGGCCUGCCGUGGGCGCCCGCAUCAACCUGGGGUCGUUCUACUUUGUGGGCACCCCUGUGGCCGUGGGGCUGGCCUUCUGGCUCAAGGUGGGGUUCAGCGGGCUGUGGUUCGGGCUGCUGUCGGCCCAGGCGGUGUGCGCCGUGUCCAUCCUCUACAAUGUGCUGGGUCGCACCGACUGGGAAGGCGAGGCCUUGAAGGCGAAGAAGCUAGCCGCCGUUGAGAUGGGAUCUUCAAAUGGAGGAGCCGGAGCGGAGGGUGGCGAGGGCGAAGAGGCUACAGGGUUGUUAAUGAAGGGAGAUGAAGUGUAAAGUCACCUGAGCUCUUUUGGAGGAGUGCGGUUGGAAGCAGAGAAGCAGAGGAGAAAAAACAACGUUUUUGCGGGGACGGUAGAUUUCUCCGAGGUUGUUUCUUUCCCUUUCGCAAGCCACUUUUUGCCCGGGCCGCGACUUGAUCUGUAAUUGCAUUGCGUAUAUUUGAUCGCCCCUGAACUCAGCGAGUCCUUUGACGUGGGAGCACACCAGCCAUCAGACUCGAUGUGAAAUGCUUGAAUGAACCUCAAUAGAAACGGUGGCGCCAUUGCAUGGAUUGAAGGCAGUUUCAUGUCUAGACCUUGCCUGUAAUGGAUCGAGUGAAUCAUAAUUUGCGAUGGAUGUCCCGUUAUCUAAAGACAAUGAUUGCGUGAUCCAUGAACUUCAAGCUUGGUUUAUUCCCUUUCCUUUUGUGAGGAAGACAAAAGGAACAUAUUCAUGCUGGCCAAAUUCGUUUUGUCACGGAGUGAAGUGGGCGUGGGUGCUCCUGUAGGAAAGAGGCUUUCUAGAUUUGAGUGGAUGGGGAAGAUCACUAGUGGCUUUUUGGAAUUGCGAUACUUCCAUUUGGGGGCCCUACUUCCAUUUGGUCAUUAGAAUUUGGCACAAGUGCCUUCGGCACCCCACUUCGCCGUCGGCCAACAACACAUGGCUUCAAAUCCUAAAUACCCUCUCUCUCUCUCUCUCCUUCACUUACCAAUUCCUAAACUUAUUAAGCCUAGUGGUCAUUAUUGGUUCAGUGAUCAAGUGCUCCGUCUUUUCUUUAAAGAGAUUGUAAAUUUGAGCUGUUGUGCACUUGAGCACUAUAAUCUUGUGGAGAGAGUCGCAAGUUAUGAACGUGCAAGGGGAACUGCUAUUGGCAAGCUCGGCAACCUUAACUCUCAAGAUAUGGAUAGUGUCCAGUAGUUAUAGCUUUUGAGAGGUGUGUGCAAUUGUAUGAUGGUUUGUAAUGAAUCAAACUCUCACAUCAGAUAUGCACGAAUAAACUAAACAACUCAUAUUGUCA